rnacentral:lncRNA from 1 species
UGUACGUAAUCCUACAGUGGAGUUGAUUACUUAUCUUAUGCACUAGCAUCAAUGGUUGGAAAUGAAUCAAUAGACAGCAAUACAGCAGAAAACAUUUGCACUCUGGAUUAAAUUUCUUAAAUCAACCAUUUUCCGCAGAAAAAGAGAAAAAAUCUCUAUCCUGCUUCCGUUUUGAUUUCGCCACAAAUUUAUACUAUGGCUUGUAAUUCAUUCAGGCACCGAAAGUUUCAUUCAAGAAGCCUAUAGGAAGUGUAAGCGUUUCUGGC